rnacentral:rRNA from 1 species
GACAGAGGGUGCAAACGUUGUUCGGAAUUACUGGGCGUAAAGCGCGUGUAGGCGGCUCCGCAAGUCGGGUGUGAAAUCCCAUGGCUCAACCAUGGAAGUGCACUCGAAACUGCGAGGCUAGAGUCCUGGAGAGGAAGGUGGAAUGCUUGGUGUAGAGGUGAAAUUCGUAGAUAUCAAGCGGAACACCGGUGGCGAAGGCGGCCUUCUGGACAGUGACUGACGCUGAGACGCGAAAGCGUGGGGAG